AUGGGAGAUUAAAAGCUUCAACCUUGAGUGAUCACAGUUUUUGAGAAUCAUGAUGAGGCAUUAAAGAGAAGGAGGAGUGUCUCAAGGGAGGUGAGCUGGAGGCGAACCAAGGCUGCUAGCUCGUCUUAGCCGUGGAAGUUUCCCCAGAUCUCAGGUAGCUUCUUUCCAGCAUGUGAUUUGACACAGGCUGGUGAAGUCUGAGGACACAUGGGUGACAUAAUGAAGGACUUCCUAAAAGCAAGAGAUUGAAAUUCUUGAGGGAACUGAUUGCUUCUCCAUUCCACAAGACAUCACAUGGAUCCAUUACCUUGAUGGACCAACUAACUGUAGACACCUUGCAUGGUGGUAUCCGAGUAGCAGAACAGCUUAUGUGAUGUCUACCUUCCCCCAGAGUGAGUGUUCCGAGAAACCAAGGCAGAUACUGCAAAGUUGCUUCUGACAGAGCCUACAUAGCCACGUAGCAUCAUUUCUAUCACCUUCUACUGAUUAUAGUUGAUUCCAGAUUUCAAGGCAAGAGGAUGACACAAGAAUCUGACUACUGAGAGGCAUGGUUCACUGGAGGACCAUCUUUGGAGAUUAGCUGUCACAGUUGCUUUGAAAGCUUUCUAGAUAGACAGAUUCUUACCUUAAUAACUAUUUUCUUUUUUUUUCUUUUUUUUUUUUUAAUAACUAUUUUCUUUACUAACAAAUAUUUUUGGGCAACACACAGUGUGUGAGAGCCUUAAAGUAUGUAGAAGAAAGAGAGAAGGCAUUGUACCUAUCCUUGAAGUUUGUGUAUUCAACUGUGAAAUAUUCAUAUUAACACUGAGGCUUAGAGCAAGCUGGGAAUCCCAGAAGUGAGAAUUAAUGUACUGGUACUGAUGGACAAUGUGUGUAUUACAGCUCUCUGGGGUGAAAUAAAUAAGUUGAUAAUGGGCUUCUGUACAUAGUUGUAUCAACAAUAAAAUGAUGGAAUACUUUUCUAGCUGAAAA